GGCGGAGAAACGAAGUAGGAAAACAGAUUUAAACCAAGUUUGAACAAUUGCUUCUGUUUGCUAGUAUGUAAACAAUGUCGCCACCGGAGAGGUGUGGACGCUAAAACGAUCUCUGGGGCUGCUUUUUUGGCGUUAAUGAAGAGGACUGGAUGUUAAAACAAACUCUGGAGCUGUUUUUGGUCGAACACGAGUGAGACUGGACGCUGAACACACCUGCGGCGCGAAGGUUUACUUGUUCAGCUGCUGCACCCUGGACAGAAACACCAGCUCUCACCUUAAAAACCAAACAGGUGUCACCACUUUGUUCAUGAUCACAGAGUGUUCAUAGAAUGAAGAAGUUCUUUGAAACCAGGACUGAGGCCUCCAGGAUUCAAACCGCAACCAUUAAAUAACAGAGAGAAGAGACAGACGUGAAGACAUUUCCAGAAGGUCUUCAGCUGCUGCUGUCUUCUCCUCCUGCAGAGACAAGAACACGUGUUAAUCACAUUUUUGGACAUAUUUCUUAUGCCUUACAUGUGGCUUAUGACAAAGGGAACUAUCUUAAAGCAGUGAUCUUACGAUUGUUUUCCACAGACACGCACCUUUACAUAGAGUGGGUUUGGUUAGAUUUUGUGUUCAUUUUGGUAUUUUGCUAUUUUAAUAUCAGUACUCAAAUCCAAUCUCUUACUGUGUACAUAGUCCUGUUUAUACUGUUCAUAUUGUUUUUAUAUAUAUUUUUUAUAUGUUAUUAUACAUUGUCAUAUCUUAAAUCUUGUCUUGUGUAUAUUGUGCCUUUUUCUAUAUUUGCUGCUGCAACACUAAAUCUCACUUCUGUGGGACUAAU